UGCUAUUUUUGUGAUAUAAACUUAGAAAUGUGCUAUUUUGGAGAUUUGCCCUAAAAUAUAUCUGUUUUUUGAGAAAAUAGAAGAACGAGCAACAACAAAUUCAAAGGAAGAGCAAUAUUAUACUACCGUGGACCCGCAUACAUGAGAUUAACCUCGUAAACUCCAAAGGAACCCAACGGCUACUUUCUCCAAACGGCUACUUUUCUGCUUUCAAAUUUCCUUAUAUAAUCUGAGAGAGAAGUUCAAUCCACACCACAAAGUAGCGACCAAUGAAAUUUAGAUCUUUCCCUCUCCUAGCCGCAGCUUGGCGACGGGUUAGUGAAGUAAACGGCGGGUCUGAUGAAGGUCGUUCUCUCGAGCGGUGAUGUUAAAACCGAGCCGGAUCCAAACGUGGAGAGAUGAUGAAGAUGUCUUUUAGUCAGGGGAUGAGAAGUCUGCUAGUGGGGGAAAGAUGCAACAGAGAGAUACGGCAACCAUCUUCCACGGACGUUCUAUAUGCCAGACAGACAGUAUGAUCCGAAAAGAAAUUGUAGAGGGAGUGACUCAGAUUGUACAGAUGCUUGACACAGAAAAAGAGUGAUGGAACUCUUCUUCUUUUUUGUAGUGUGUCUGCUUUAGUGUCUUGAGAAUGUUUUAUCAGUUUAUAUGUAAUCCGUUUGUUCCCAAACUUGUAGACCAUUUUCUCAAAUUGAUUUUGUUUAGAUUA